ACGUACGCUGGCGGCACGCCUUAUACAUGCAAGUCGAACGAAGUAGCAAUACUUAGUGGCAGACGGGUGAGUAACAUGUAGGUAUCUGCCCUUUGGCCUGGAAUAACACGAGGAAACUUGUGCUAAUACCGGAUAAGUCUUUACGGAGAAAGCUUUAUGCACCAUUGGAUGAGCCCGCACUUGAUUAGUUUGUUGGUAGGGUAAUGGCCUACCAAGACUAUGAUCAAUAGCUGAUUUGAGAGGAUGAUCAGCCACAUUGGGACUGAGACACGGCCCAAACUCCUACGGGAGGCAGCAGUGGGGAAUCUUGCACAAUGGAGGAAACUCUGAUGCAGCGAUGCCGCGUGAGUGAAGAAGGCCCUUGGGUUGUAAAGCUCUUUCGUCGGGGAAGAAAAUGACUGUACCCGAAUAAGAAGGUCCGGCUAACUUCGUGCCAGCAGCCGCGGUAAUACGAAGGGACCUAGCGUAGUUCGGAAUUACUGGGCUUAAAGAGUUCGUAGGUGGUUGAAAAAGUUGGUGGUGAAAUCCCAGAGCUUAACUCUGGAACUGCCAUCAAAACUUUUCAGCUAGAGUAUGAUAGAGGAAAGCAGAAUUUCUAGUGUAGAGGUGAAAUUCGUAGAUAUUAGAAAGAAUACCAAUUGCGAAGGCAGCUUUCUGGAUCAUUACUGACACUGAGGAACGAAAGCAUGGGUAGCGAAGAGGAUUAGAUACCCUCGUAGUCCAUGCCGUAAACGAUGUGUGUUAGACGUUGGAAAUUUAUUUUCAGUGUCGCAGGGAAACCGAUAAACACACCGCCUGGGGAGUACGACCGCAAGGUUAAAACUCAAAUGAAUUGACGGGGACCCGCACAAGUAGUGGAGCAUGUGGUUUAAUUCGAAGAUACGCGCAGAACCUUACCAACACUUGACAUGUUCGUCGCGACUCUAAGAGAUUAGAGUUUUCGGUUCGGCCGGACGAAACACAGGUGCUGCAUGGCUGUCGUCAGCUCGUGUCGUGAGAUGUUGGGUUAAGUCCCGCAACGAGCGCAACCCCCACUUUUAGUUGCCAUCAUUAAGUUGGGCACUCUGAAAGAACUGCCAGUGAUAAGCUGGAGGAAGGUGGGGAUGACGUCAAGUCCUCAUGGCCCUUACGUGUUGGGCUACACACGUGCUACAAUGGCAUCUACAACAGGAAGCAAAACGGCAACGUUAAGCAAAUCCCGAAAAGAUGCCUCAGUUCGGAUUGCACUCUGCAACUCGAGUGCAUGAAGCUGGAAUUACUAGUAAUCGUGGAUCAGCGUGCCACGGUGAAUGCGUUCCCGGGUCUUGCACACACCGCCCGAA
rnacentral:rRNA from 1 species